UAGGGAAUCUUCCGCAAUGGGCGAAAGCCUGACGGAGCAACGCCGCGUGAGUGAUGAAGGUCUUCGGAUCGUAAAACUCUGUUAUUAGGGAAGAACAAAUGUGUAAGUAACUAUGCACGUCUUGACGGUACCUAAUCAGAAAGCCACGGCUAACUACGUGCCAGCAGCCGCGGUAAUACGUAGGUGGCAAGCGUUAUCCGGAAUUAUUGGGCGUAAAGCGCGCGUAGGCGGUUCUUUAGGUCUGAUGUGAAAGCCCACGGCUCAACCGUGGAGGGUCAUUGGAAACUGGAAAACUUGAGUGCAGAAGAGGAAAGUGGAAUUCCAUGUGUAGCGGUGAAAUGCGCAGAGAUAUGGAGGAACACCAGUGGCGAAGGCGACUUUCGGGUCUGUAACUGACACUGAUGUGCGAAAGAGUGGGGAUCAAACAGG
rnacentral:rRNA from 1 species